AGUGAACGCUGGCGGUAGGCCUAACACAUGCAAGUCGAACGGCAGCACAGUAAGAGCUUGCUCUUACGGGUGGCGAGUGGCGGACGGGUGAGGAAUACAUCGGACUCUACUUUUUCGUGGGUGAUAACGUAGGGAAACUUACGCUAAUACCGCAUACGACCUACGGGAGAAAGCAGGGGUUCUUCGGACCUUGCGCGAUUGAAUGAGCCGAUGUCGGAUUAGCUAGUUGGCGGGGUAAAGGCCCACCAAGGCGACGAUCCGUAGCUGGUCUGAGAGGAUGAGCAGCCACCCUGGAACUGAGACACGGUCCAGACUCCUACGGGAGGCAGCAGUAGGGAAUAUUGGACAAUGGGCGCAAGCCUGAUCAAGCCAGACCGCGUGGGUGAUGAAGGCCUUCGGGUUGUAAAGCCCUUUUGUUGGGAAAGAAAAGCAGCAGGUUAAUACACCGCUGUCCUGACGGUACCCAAAGAAUAAGCAACGGCUAACUUCGUG
rnacentral:rRNA from 1 species